rnacentral:rRNA from 1 species
GUCCACGCCGUAAACGAUGAAUGCCAGUCGUCGGCAGGCAUGCCUGUCGGUGACACACCUAACGGAUUAAGCAUUCCGCCUGGGGAGUACGGCCGCAAGGUUAAAACUCAAAGGAAUUGACGGGGGCCCCGCACAAGCGGUGGAGCAUGUGGUUUAAUUCGAAGCAACGCGCAGAACCUUACCAACCCUUGACAUGGGCAUCGCGGGGCCAGAGAUGGUCCUUUCAGUUCGGCUGGAUGCCACACAGGUGCUGCAUGGCUGUCGU